rnacentral:rRNA from 1 species
UGAGGAAUAUUGGUCAAUGGGCGGGAGCCUGAACCAGCCAAGCCGCGUGAGGGAUGAAGGCCCUAUGGGUCGUAAACCUCUUUUGUCAGGGAACAAAAGCGAGUAUGUAUACUAGUCUGAGUGUACCUGAAGAAAAAGCAUCGGCUAACUCCGUGCCAGCAGCCGCGGUAAUACGGAGGAUGCGAGCGUUAUCCGGAUUUAUUGGGUUUAAAGGGUGCGUAGGCGGCGGUGCAAGUCAGCGGUAAAAGCCCGGGGCUCAACCCCGGCGAGCCGUUGAAACUGCAGUGCUAGAGAAGGCGAGAGGUACGCGGAAUGCGCAGUGUAGCGGUGAAAUGCUUAGAUAUUGCGCAGAACUCCGAUUGCGAAGGUAGCGUACUGGCGCCUGACUGACGCUGAGGCACGAAAGCGUGGGGAUCGAACAGGAUUAGAUACC